rnacentral:rRNA from 1 species
GAUGAACGCUGGCGGCGUGCCUAAUACAUGCCAGUCGAGCGAACAGACGAGGAGCUUGCUCCUCUGACGUUAGCGGCGGACGGGUGAGUAACACGUGGAUAACCUACCUAUAAGACUGGGAUAACUUCGGGAAACCGGAGCUAAUACCGGAUAAUAUAUUGAACCGCAUGGUUCAAUAGUGAAAGACGGUUUUGCUGUCACUUAUAGAUGGAUCCGCGCCGCAUUAGCUAGUUGGUAAGGUAACGGCUUACCAAGGCAACGAUGCGUAGCCGACCUGAGAGGGUGAUCGGCCACACAGGAACUGAGACACGGUCCAGACUCCUACGGGAGGCAGCAGUAGGGAAUCUUCCGCAAUGGGCGAAAGCCUGACGGAGCAACGCCGCGUGAGUGAUGAAGGUCUUCGGAUCGUAAAACUCUGUUAUUAGGGAAGAACAAAUGUGUAAGUAACUAUGCACGUCUUGACGGUACCUAAUCAGAAAGCCACGGCUAACUACGUG